GGGAAACUGCCCGAUGGAGGGGGAUAACUACUGGAAACGGUAGCUAAUACCGCAUAACGUCGCAAGACCAAAGUGGGGGACCUUCGGGCCUCACACCAUCAGAUGUGCCCAGAUGGGAUUAGCUAGUAGGUGGGGUAAUGGCUCACCUAGGCGACGAUCCCUAGCUGGUCUGAGAGGAUGACCAGCCACACUGGAACUGAGACACGGUCCAGACUCCUACGGGAGGCAGCAGUGGGGAAUAUUGCACAAUGGGCGCAAGCCUGAUGCAGCCAUGCCGCGUGUAUGAAGAAGGCCUUCGGGUUGUAAAGUACUUUCAGCGGGGAGGAAGGCGGUGAAGUUAAUAGCUUCACCGAUUGACGUUACCCGCAGAAGAAGCACCGGCUAACUCCGUGCCAGCAGCCGCGGUAAUACGGAGGGUGCAAGCGUUAAUCGGAAUUACUGGGCGUAAAGCGCACGCAGGCGGUCUGUCAAGUCGGAUGUGAAAUCCCCGGGCUUAACCUGGGAACUGCAUUCGAAACUGGCAGGCUAGAGUCUUGUAGAGGGGGGUAGAAUUCCAGGU
rnacentral:rRNA from 1 species